GUUUUUCUGGAAGCCCAUCUCAGUUCUCCUCUCUCUUCACUGGAGUCAUUAGGGUCCUGUUUGCUUCUCAGGAUGUGGGUUCUUCCCCUUCUUAGGUUACUCUCCACCCUCUCUCCCUGAAUACCUUCCACCUGCUCAUGGAUGUCUCUGACGCUGCCUGCCUGUCAGGGCUGCUGAAUUUCUCCUGUGUCCUUCAUGUCCCCUGGUGAGCUGCCUUUAUAGACACUUAUGGAAAAACUUACGGAGAACACUUACGGAAAAAACAAGGUGAAAAAGAAUAAAUGUCUUGCCCAACUCGGGCAACCUCAGAGAGUGACAAGACUAGAGAGAGAGCCAUUCAGUGCUCUCUCUUCAGACUGCUCAAUUGAAAAGAACAGAUAUUUCGAAGGCUCGCGAUCCAUAUUGUAAAGUUGCCUUUCAGAAAAUUUAUGCAAGUGUGUAUUUGCACUGAAGAGGUGGCAUUUGAACACCAACUGCACAGGCAGGGCUUGUGAUGGAGGUCAGUGUGGUGGAACAGCCACCUGAACUGGAACCAGUACCACUGGGAGUUAACCCUAGCUCUGCCACUUCUGAGCUCUCUGACAUUGGAUUAUCUGUGGCUGCUGUUUUCUUCACAGUUAUUCAACAAAACAGGAAUGCCGAGAGGAUGGACCAGGCCACAGGCACAACUGGAUCUAGUGCAGCUGUUGAUGUCAAUAGGACAUUGUCUCCUUCCCCAGAUCUUCUUUUGACUCUUUGGGCUCAUUUUCAGGUGGAAUUUUUCCACUUUGUGGCAAAAGAUAUACUUGGGUAGCUUUAAACUUAGAUAUUCCUCAUAAAUAACAAUCUAGGGUAAAAGAUAUGAAAUGCUCUUCUGCCAUAUCCAGACCAAGUCCUGAAAAUGAUUUAAUUGACUAUGUCUGUGGCACAUAUUCAUCUCUGGACCAAGCCUUGUGUCCUGGGGGAUUUAUAUUCUGAUUGGCCAGCCAGAAGCAUAUGCCCAUUUCUGUGUUUGCAAGUCCUCCAGAUAGAGAAGGAAAGCUACCCAAAGGAAACGUAAGAGGACAG
rnacentral:lncRNA from 1 species